AUUGAACGCUGGAGGCGGGCUUAACACAUGCAAGUCGAGCGAGCGGCGGACGGGUGAGUAAUGUCUGGGAAACUGCCUGAUGGAGGGCGCUCACUACUGGAAACGGUCGCUAAUACCGCCUCCUCUCAUAUGUGCCCAGAUGGGAUUAGCUAGUAGGUGGGGUACUGGCUCACCUAGGCGACGAUCCCUCGCUGGUCUGAGAGGAUGACCAGCAACACGGGAACUGAGACACGGUCCAGACUCCUACGGGAGGCAGCAGUGGGGAAUAGUGCACAAUGGGCGCAAGCCUGAUGCAGCGAGGCCGCGUGUGUGAAGAAGGCCGUCGGGUUGUAAAGCACUUGCAGCGGGGAGGCGUUACUCGCAGAUGAAGCACCGGCUAACUCCGUGCCAGCAGCCGCGGUAAUAC
rnacentral:rRNA from 1 species